rnacentral:tRNA from 1 species
GGGUGUUUAGUCUAGUGGUCAGGACGCUUCGUUGUGGUUGCUUGGCUUGGAAUUCUGAAGAAAGUUUGGGGCAUCACAACAGAACCGAAGAAACCCCGGUUCGAUUCCGGGAACGCCCA